UACAGAGGUCUCAAGCGUUGUUCGGAUUCAUUGGGCGUAAAGGGUGUGUAGGUGGCGCGCUAAGUCGGGUGUGAAAUUUCGGAGCUUAACUCCGAAACUGCAUUCGAUACUGCCGUGCUUGAGGACUGGAGAGGAGACUGGAAUUUACGGUGUAGCGGUGAAAUGCGUAGAUAUCGUAAGGAAGACCAGUGGCGAAGGCGGGUCGUCGUGGACAGUUCCUGACGCUGAGGCACGAAGGCCAGGGGAGCAAACGGG
rnacentral:rRNA from 1 species